rnacentral:rRNA from 1 species
CGAUUCUGGCUCAGAACGAACGCUGGCGGCGCGUCUUAAGCAUGCAAGUCGAACGGCAAGAGGUAGCAAUACCUCCUAGAGUGGCGGACUGGUGAGUAACACGUGGGUGACAUACCCUUCAGAUGGGGAUAGCUAUUAGAAAUAGUAGAUAAUACCGAAUACGAGCACAGGGGUUAGAGAUCUGUGAGGAAAGGAGCUAAGGCUCCGCUGAAGGAAUGGCCUGCGGCCCAUUAGCUAGUUGGUGAGGUAAGAGCCCACCAAGGCGAUGAUGGGUAUCCGGCCUUAGAGGGUGAACGGACACAUUGGGACUGAGAUACGGCCCAGACUCCUACGGGAGGCAGCAGCUAAGAAUAUUCCGCAAUGGACGAAAGUCUGACGGAGCGACGCCGCGUUGGAUGAAGAAGGCCGGAAGGUUGUAAAAUCCUUUUGAAACUGAAGAAUAAGCGUUGUAGGGAAUGACAGCGUGGUGACAGUAGGUUUUGAAUAAGCAACGGCUAAUUACGUGCCAGCCGCUGC